AUUCACGCUUGCGGCAUGCCUUACCCCUUCCAGUCGCACGGCAGCACGGGUGCUUGCACCUGGUGGCGAGUGGCGAACGGGUGAGUAAUACAUCGGAACAUGUCCUGUAGUGGGGGAUAGCCCGGCGAAAGCCGGAUUAAUACCGCAUACGAUCUACGGAUGAAAGCGGGGGACCUUCGGGCCUCGCGCUAUAGGGUUGGCCGAUGGCUGAUUAGCUAGUUGGUGGGGUAAAGGCCUACCAAGGCGACGAUCAGUAGCUGGUCUGAGAGGACGACCAGCCACACGGGGACUGAGACACGGCCCAGACUCCUACGGGAGGCAGCAGUGGGGAAUUUUGGACAAUGGGCGAAAGCCUGAUCCAGCAAUGCCGCGUGUGUGAAGAAGGCCUUCGGGUUGUAAAGCACUUUUGUCCGGAAAGAAAUCCUUGGCUCUAAUACAGUCGGGGGAUGACGGUACCGGAAGAAUAAGCACCGGCUAACUACGUG
rnacentral:rRNA from 1 species